rnacentral:rRNA from 1 species
GACGAACGCUGGCGGCGUGCUUAACACAUGCAAGUCGAACGGAAAGGCCCUGCUUUUGUGGGGUGCUCGAGUGGCGAACGGGUGAGUAACACGUGAGUAACCUGCCCUUGACUUUGGGAUAACUUCAGGAAACUGGGGCUAAUACCGGAUAGGAGCUCCUGCUGCAUGGUGGGGGUUGGAAAGUUUCGGCGGUUGGGGAUGGACUCGCGGCUUAUCAGCUUGUUGGUGGGGUAGUGGCUUACCAAGGCUUUGACGGGUAGCCGGCCUGAGAGGGUGACCGGCCACAUUGGGACUGAGAUACGGCCCAGACUCCUACGGGAGGCAGCAGUGGGGAAUAUUGCACAAUGGGCGGAAGCCUGAUGCAGCAACGCCGCGUGCGGGAUGACGGCCUUCGGGUUGUAAACCGCUUUCGCCAGUGACGAAGCGUGAGUGACGGUAAUGGGUAAAGAAGCAACGGCUAACUACGUG